rnacentral:lncRNA from 1 species
AAAAUGCAAUUCUUGACUUGAGAUGAAUCAGUUCCCCAAUUUAUACUUCAUUCGUGGAAACUGGGUCUUGGGCAACAUCUCAGCAAUUCCUUCCAAUCUGAAGUUCUCUCAUCUGCUGGUAACCGGUCCAUUCCUAUUGGCGUUCAAGCAAUCACAAACACAUCCUACUUUUGAGAAAUGUUCCAAAGGAGGAGUCAAAGCGGCUGUAAUCUUGAUUCGGUUUUAUGGGCAAUAGAAUUAUUUUACUGAUUCCUGGAAUCAUGGCUCCUAUACAUCUGCACUCUAUGAGCACUUUGGAAAUUAAAGGAUUGCCAGCUUUUCCACUUUGGGACAAAAAACAUUUGUGCUAAACAGCCGAGUCAAUCUACUGAGGUCCUACAAUUCUCUUCAUUGACCUGAACAAACUCGACUCUGCUUUUCCCUUAAAUUUCUGUACAGAACCCUGACAACUCGUCUAUACUUUCUGUUAUUGAUUUCCCCCAUGCGCCUAAGUUUCUUAUGACUUCUGGAUUCUCCUUUUGGCUUUGCAGAACACCCCUACUUCCAAACUCUAGAGUAAAAUUCCUGUGAAGACUGAUACCUCAGAAGUGACUGCUUCACAGAUAGACAUCUAAUUUUUUAAUUGAGAUUUCAACUAUUUAACACUUACCGUGUUAACUCAUGACACUCUCCUCCAUUUGCUCAUAAACAACAAAACAAUAACAAAAAUGAAUGCUCACUGAGUGCUACAGAAUGCAAACUAUUAAAGAUACAGAAAUAAUGAAUAGGACUUCUGACCUUGAGUGGUUGGUAAAUAAAACAGAAAUAUAAAAAAUGAAAUAAAUAAUUAGGGUUACUGCCACUAGAGAAACAGAUCACAGGCUACAGAUUACUACUGGCCCUAUGAAGCAGGAAGACAGCACAGGUAUAGCAAGGGACCUUUUAUAUGUAGGUAGAACCUUAUUGUAGGUAAUGGUGAAAGCCAGUGAGCCCUUGCUCUGGGCUGCUCUGGUGAAUUGGCACUCCCUUCACUGUUUCGCUGACUAGACCUCAAGUACCCUCCAUGAGAGACUAGGGAGGCCUUGUGGAGCUGUGUCCUGUUUUCUACUUGCAUGAAUUAUUUGCAUUGCUUGUUUGUGAGUUUUAGCAAAAUAAACUGAAUGCAGACAAUGCCAUGUCCAAGUAAUCUUGCUUGGCAAUGUUUGAAUCUCUAUCAG